ACACACGGAGAGGAUGGAGACCAUCAGAGGAGACGAUCAGUCAGGAGAGAGAGGAGACCAGAGAGGAGACCAGAGAGAAGAGAGGAGACCAGAGACCAGAGAGAAGAGAGGAGACCAGAGAGGAGACCAGAGAGAAGAGAGGAGACCAGAGACCAGAGAGAAGAGAGGAGACCAGAGAGGAGACCAGAGAGAAGAGAGGAGACCAGAGACCAGAGAGGAGACCAGAGAGAAGAGAGGAGACCAGAGACCAGAGACCAGAGACCAGAGAGGAGACCAGAGACCAGAGAGGAGACCAGAGACCAGAGACCAGAGACCAGAGACCAGAGAGGAGACCAGAGACCAGAGAGGAGACCAGAGACCAGAGACCAGAUACCAGAGAGAAGAGAGGAGACCAGAGACCAGAGAGGAGACCAGAGAGAAGAGAGGAGACCAGAGACCAGAGAGAAGAGACCAGAAACCAGAGAGGAGACCAGAGACCAGAGACCAGAGACCAGAGACCAGAGACCAGAGAGAAGAGAGGAGACCAGAGAGAAGAGACCAGAAACCAGAGAGGAGACCAGAGACCAGAGACCAGAGAGGAGACCAGAGACCAGAGAGGAGACCAGAGACCAGAGAGGAGACCAGAGACCAGAUACCAGAGAGAAGAGAGGAGACCAGAGACCAGAGAGGAGACCAGAGACCAGAGAGAAGAGAGGAGACCAGAGACCAGAGAGAAGAGACCAGAAACCAGAGAGGAGACCAGAGACCAGAGACCAGAGACCAGAGACCAGAGACCAGAGAGGAGACCAGAGAGAAGAGAGGAGACAAAAGACCAGAGAGGAGACCAGAGAGAAGAGAGGAGACAAAAGACCAGAGAGGAGACCAGAGACCAGAGAGGACAGAUGGAGCUCCUGUUGCUGCUGCUGCUGCUUCAGAGCUCGGCUGCAACACUUCAGAAUUUCUGCUCCAACUCGACGGUGCUGAAGACUCGGACAGCGUGUCACUCGUGCAGCAUCAGCAUGAUGAUGCCGUGUCCGUCCACAUACAAACAGACGCCCAGAUCCACCGUGCGGGACUGCAAGUACUUCAUCAGGACUCUCAGUCUGGUGUUGCCCCUCAACGGCUGCUCCUUUGAGUGCUACAGAGAGGCCGAGGUGAGGAGUUGCUGUCCCGGCUCCUGGGGUCCAGACUGCACCGGUGAGUACAGAAACACACCCAGGACACACAACUUAAUAAU
rnacentral:lncRNA from 1 species